rnacentral:rRNA from 1 species
CCUACGGGUGGCAGCAGUCGAGAAUCAUUCACAAUGGGGGAAACCCUGAUGGUGCGACGCCGCGUGGGGGAAUGAAGGUCUUCGGAUUGUAAACCCCUGUCAUGUGGGAGCAAAUUAAAAAGAUAGUACCACAAGAGGAAGAGCCGGCUAACUCUGUGCCAGCAGCCGCGGUCAUACAGAGGUCUCAAGCGUUGUUCGGAAUCACUGGGCGUAAGGCGUGCGUAGGCUGUUUCGUAAGUCGUGUGUGAAAGGCGGGGGCUCAACCCGCGGACGGCACAUGAUACUGGGAGACUAGAGUAAAGGAGGGGGAACCGGAAUUCGCGGUGUAGCAGUGAAAUGCGUAGAUAUCGAGAGGAACACUCGUGGCGAAGGCGGGUUCCUGGACAUUAACUGACGCUGAGGCACGAAGGCCAGGGGAGCGAAAGGGAUUAGAUACCCGUGUAGUC